rnacentral:rRNA from 1 species
CGGGGCCUACGGGAGGCAGCAGUGGGGAAUAUUGCACAAUGGGGGGAACCCUGAUGCAGCGACGCCGCGUGGGUGAAGGAGCACCUCGGUGCGUAAAGCCCUAUCGGCAGGGAAGAAAAGCGAACAGGUUCGCCUGGACGGUACCUGACUAAGAAGCCCCGGCUAACUACGUGCCAGCAGCCGCGGGAAUACGUAGGGGGCAAGCGUUAUCCGGAUUCACUGGGUGUAAAGGGAGCGGAGACGGC